GACGAACGCUGGCGGCGUGCUUAACACAUGCAAGUCGAGCGGAAAGGCCCUGCUUUUGUGGGGUUCUCGAGUGGCGAAAGGGUGAGUAUCACGUGAGUAACCUGCCCUUUACUUUGGGAUACCUUCAGGGAACUCGGGUGAUUACCGGAUAUGACCUCCUUCUGCAUGGGUGUGGUUGUAAAAUGUCGGCGGUUGGGGAUGGACGCGCGGCUUAUCAGCGUGUUGGUGGGGUAGUGGCUUACCAGGGCUUUGACGGGUAGCCGGCCUGAGAGGGUGACCGGCCACAUUGGGACUGAGAUACGGCCCAGACUCCUACGGGAGGCAGCAGUGGGGAAUAUUGCACGAUGGGCGGAAGCCUGAUGCAGCAACGCCGCGUGCGGGAUGACGGCCUUCGGGGUGUAAACCGCUUUCGCCUGUGACGAAGCGUGAGUGACGGUAAUGGGUAAAGAAGCACCGGCUAACUACGUG
rnacentral:rRNA from 1 species